AUUGAACGCUGGCGGCAGGCCUAACACAUGCAAGUCGAACGGUAACAGGAAGAAGCUUGCUUCUUUGCUGACGAGUGGCGGACGGGUGGGUAAUGUCUGGGAAACUGCCUGAUGGAGGGGGAUAACUACUGGAAACGGUAGCUAAUACCGCAUAACGUCGCAAGACCAAAGAGGGGGACCUUCGGGCCUCUUGCCAUCGGAUGUGCCCAGAUGGGAUUAGCUAGUAGGUGGGGUAACGGCUCACCUAGGCGACGAUCCCUAGCUGGUCCGAGAGGAUGACCAGCCACACUGGAACUGAGACACGGUCCAGACUCCUACGGGAGGCAGCAGUGGGGAAUAUUGCACAAUGGGCGCAAGCCUGAUGCAGCCAUGCCGCGUGUAUGAAGAAGGCCUUCGGGUUGUAAAGUACUUUCAGCGGGGAGGAAGGGAGUAAAGUUAAUACCUUUGCUCAUUGACGUUACCCGCAGAAGAAGCACCGGCUAACUCCGUGCCAGCCGCCGCCGUAA
rnacentral:rRNA from 1 species